rnacentral:rRNA from 1 species
UACGAAGGGUGCAAGCGUUACUCGGAAUUACUGGGCGUAAAGCGUGCGUAGGUGGUCGUGUAAGUCUGUUGUGAAAGCCCUGGGCUCAACCUGGGAACUGCAGUGGAAACUGGACGACUAGAGUGUGGUAGAGGGUAGCGGAAUUCCCGGUGUAGCAGUGAAAUGCGUAGAGAUCGGAAAGAACACCAACGGCGAAAGCACUCUGCUGGGCCGACACUGACACUGAGAGACGAAAGCUAGGGGAGCGAAUGGG